AAGACCUCCCAUUCAGCCCGUUGUAGCCGGCCAGCCCUCCCAUAGUGAGACUCUUCUUCUUCUCUCAUUUUCCUUACGUUUUCAUGAAAUUUGUCCAAAACUCAACACCCGAACUUUGGGAUUUUGUUCAAAUACUUGGAAAACUACCUUAUAAAGUCAUUAACACCUUUAACCCCCCGACACAUUUUCAACAAGGGCUUUCAUGAGUAUUAGAGAGAGAAAAUAGAACCUAGAAAGAGAAAGCUUUAUAAAUGUUUGUAAUGAUGUUGUCCACUUCUUCUAGCUUAGUAUUUGAGAUUUUUUGUAUAAGAAAAAUUUGAAAUAUGUUAAUGUUAGUUUACUUUUGGUGUAUGAAAAAUGAGGAAAUGAUGGUUAUUGGAUAUUCAAGCUAGGAGGAGGAUGGAUUCAAGUACUUGGAAGCUUGAUUUUGAGUAAAAAUGCAUCCAAGAGAUGGCUAACUUGCAGAACAUGUCAAAUCGAUUGUCGAGAAGUUCCCUUUCCCUGUUAUUUUGGACUUAUUUAUGGGCAUGUAUAAAUAUGUGUAAGCUUGGUAAUAUGUUAUAUUGCAUAUGGAUUUUAUGAAUGGAAAAUUUGAAACUCAAUUAGUAUGGUUAUAUUGAUGAAAUUGAUUAA